rnacentral:rRNA from 1 species
GAUGAACGCUGGCGGCGUGCCUAAUACAUGCAAGUCGAGCGAACAGACGAGGAGCUUGCUCCUCUGACGUUAGCGGCGGACGGGUGAGUAACACGUGGAUAACCUACCUAUAAGACUGGGAUAACUUCGGGAAACCGGAGCUAAUACCGGAUAAUAUAUUGAACCGCAUGGUUCAAUAGUGAAAGACGGUUUUGCUGUCACUUAUAGAUGGAUCCGCGCCGCAUUAGCUAGUUGGUAAGGUAACGGCUUACCAAGGCAACGAUGCGUAGCCGACCUGAGAGGGUGAUCGGCCACACUGGAACUGAGACACCGUCCAGACUCCUACGGGAGGCAGCAGUAGGGAAUCUGCCGCAAUGGGCGAAAGCCUGACGGAGCAACGCCGCGUGAGUGAUGAAGGUCUUCGGAUCGUAAAACUCUGUUAUGAGGGAAGAACAAAUGUGUAAGUAACUAUGCACGUCUUGACGGUACCUAAUCAGAAAGCCACGGCUAACUACGUG